rnacentral:rRNA from 1 species
UACAUGUGGGGCAAGCGUUGUUCGGAAUUACUGGGCAUAAAGGGUGCGUAGGUGGCUUAGUAAGUCAGUGGUGAGAUCGUCCGGCCCAACCGGACACGUGCCAAUGAUACUGCUGAGCUCGAGUGCGUGAGGGGUAGGGGGAACGAGCAGUGUAGCGGUGAAAUGCGUAGAUAUUGCUCGGAAGGCCAAAGCCGAAGGGACCCUACUGGUGCGCAACUGACACUGAGGCACGAAAGCGUGGGGAGCAAACAGG